GGCUGGAGAGAUAGCUCAGUGGUUAAGAGCACUGACUGCUCUUCCAGAGGUCCUGAGUUCAAUUCCCAGCAACCA
rnacentral:tRNA from 1 species